rnacentral:lncRNA from 1 species
UCCUGCGUGAAGGAUCCAUGAUCCCGUGCCCCUAAUCUCCUCUCAUUUCCCUUCUUUCUUCUCUUCCUGUUUGGUCAGUCACAUCUCUUCAUCCUCCCCAAUUGGGCAACGGUCCUCCUUCUCUCUUCCCUCUUUCUUUUUCUGUUUCUUCCUCCUCUACCCGACACACACCCACACACCCAAUGCAUAUAUUUCACUUUGUAAUAAUAAUAAUAAAAACAUAGUGUAGAAAUAAUUAAAAUAAUGUUUCAUUCCAAAUACCUUCGGGUUCAUAACUCAAUAAAAUUUUAACUGUAACUCCAAAAUCACUUCUACCUGUGCCUACACAUCCGUAAGAUCGAGCUCUAUCCGAAUAUGUCAAUAAACAUGACAAAAGAUACAAGAAUCACAUACAUCCUCGAAAAUCACGCUUUGCCCAUAGGGUAAUUCCGUCAUUUGACGUAUUAACAUUAUAAAAACCAUAAUUUUUAGGGACGAGCUGUUACAAUAUUGUGAUUUUUUUUAGUGAAUAUUGUGAAGAUAAAGAAGAUAUAAUAUUGUGAAUAGGAAAUAGGAAAAUAGGGAAUAUUGUGAAGAAGGAAUCGGUGAUACACCCCAACCUAAAAUAUGCACAUGGAUACCCGAAUCAAGCUAUACUGGUCGACACCUAAAAGGUGACGAAGCCAUAACGUGAUGUGGAAAGUGAAAACUAAUAGUGUAGUAUAAGUGAUGGUGGGUGGGUUAACCCUUACCACACAAGUGAUGUCAGAGCAUAGAUAAUAGUGCAGUAAAAGUAAGGAAUACUUAUACCGCAAGGAGAAACCUCCUACAUAUCAACUUUUGCUAGCAAUCCUCGUCGAUAACAUGAACUAGCCACUAAAAUCCUGAAAGGGCGAAAACAAAAAAGGAUGAGUGCACCCAUAAAAUAAAGUUUUGAAAACCUUUGGAAAACUUGUAACCUUUUAUGUAAAACAAAUAUAUAGUUCCAAAAAUAAUAAUAUUACAUAAUACUGUAUAUACCUAACAUGUUUCGUAAGUCGAAUGGUACAAGGUACGUAAACAACAACCAUCUUAAAGUUUAAAUCACUGCUCAUUAAGGUGAGUAAUUACAUUUAUUAUUUUAUUUUGAAUAUUGUGGCAUGAGUUUUAAAUAUGAAAAUAUGACUUUAACCCGACAUAAGUUUUUUACUCUAAUAUAACCCUUUGAAUAGAUUCCACAUCAGCAAAUUCAUUAAUUAUAUUAGACUUUACACAUUUAAAAAUUUUUGAAGCCUAAAAUACCCCUAUUUGAAUAUUUGAUGUACACUAUUAAUUCUAUGCGGGUACGUAAACAACAUUCAUCUUAAAGUUUAAAUCACUGCUCAUUAACGUAUGUAGGCACACAAAUCCAUUACUGAAAUAUUCUAACCAUAAAAAAGGCUGGGUGUAGAUUUUACAUUCUAGGCACACAAAUCACUGCUCAUUAAUGUAUGACAUCCAUUAUG